rnacentral:lncRNA from 1 species
GGUCAUUAUCAUACAUCAAGCUUGGAUCUCAUCAUGAAACAUCAUAAAGCAUGACAUAAUGAUCAUAUACAAAGGGAUUUCAAAAUUUUCUAGGGUCAAGCACAAUACUAACUCAAUAUAACAUGACUUUACAUUAUCUCUUUAUACAUUACAUGUCCACUACUCUAUACUAUUACACUUAGACUUUACCCUUGUUGUUCCUCUGCCUUCUCUAUGGCCCUGAAAACAUGGGGUUAGGGAGAGGGGUGACCUAUUAGAGCCCAGUGAGCAGAACAAUAAAACAUUUAAAACAUGCUAUCAUGAAAUGCGUCACAUCACAAACAAAGCACAUCACGGACGGACUGACCCAAAAAUCCCUCUGCUCUGUGUCCGGCCCUCAAAGGAGCUCCUCAGGACUUCUGUUACAUCCAUAUAAACUUUGUGCCCGGCCCUCAAGGGGCUCCUCAAAACUUCUGUUAUAUAAACAUAAACAUCAGAGGGCUAAAGGGUCCUACUCUGUGUCUGUCCCCAUCAACAAGUAAUAAUGCAAUACGUCAUCUUUGUGAACACUAAUGCAAUGCAAUACACCCUAAUAUCACAUGGCAUGUAUGAUGCAUGAAUCAUGCUAAAAGCUUUCAUUAAUUGAAAACAUAGUUCAGUUCCACUCACCUCUGUUAACUGCUGAACAGUCUCUGUAACUCUAACUCUGUGGGCCUCAUUGGUUCCUCGGGUCCGCACCUACACAGGUGGACUCAAAUGAGGAUCAAAUAUACUCUAACAUAGCUAUAAACAUCUCCCCAAAAACUCCCCUAAAACAUCAUAAACAUGCAUGGAAAAAUGGGCAAAGGAAGGCUGGACAGGGCACUUUUGGCGGCAGGUUCGGCGGCCGAAAGUCCCUUCAGAGCCAAAACUCAUGCACUUUCGGCGGCACCUUCGGCAGCCGAAAGUCCCUUUGACUCGCGGUUAUCGAAGCCGAUCAAAAAUAACCUUUCUGGUUAUCAACAAUUUACAACUGCAGAUAGUGGUGAAAGGAUCGAAUCCACAGAUAAUUGAGAACUCACCUAUUUCUCUUUUUAUGACCAAGAAAAUAAACUGGAACGAUAAUAUAUUAAAAAUGAGAUAAAAGACUGAAAGUGGGAUCAAAUGAGAUAAACUGAAAAUUGAGAUCAAAACUGUCAACAAAAUAACAGGGGGGGUUUGAGAUUGAUUGUAGUAAACUAAUAAUGAGAAAAAUAAUGGGAAGCAAAUAAUUAAAUAAAAAGUAAUCAAUAAUGAGAAAGCUCUAGUUGAAGUAUUGGAUCCACUUUAAUUGAUGGGAUUGAUCACAGACACUUUGUUCUUUUGGGUUGAUUCAAUAGAUUAGUUAUGGAGAUGGAAGACGCUUCUCACCACCAUUAUCUCUCCUUAUGAUUAAACCAAUUAGGGAACGUCCUCUAAUUAAUUACUAAUUAACAAAUUGCCAAGGAACGUCCUUGGGCCUUAGGCAUCAAAACAAUUGUCAAUUGCAUUAAGAAAUAGAGAGAUCCAAUCCUAGCUACCCAAACGUAUGGAGAUAACGCUAGAUCAUACAAUUUCCUUGGGUUUUAUCCCAAGUGUUCUCAUGUAAGAAUAAUCCAAGUAAUUACGGACUUAAAUUAUUCAAACUAACAAAUAAUUAUUUUGCAAUAAAAAAUCAACGUAGAUCUCAAUAACAAAAUAAUAUGAAAAUUAAAUAUGAAAUUGCAUGAAUAUUGAAUUCCCAAAAAUUAAACAAUAUUUGAUCAAGUCUCACAACCCAUUAAUCAACUAAAGCUUCAACUAAUAUUCAACUAAAUCAAAAGAAUUCAGCCACUCAUGGCUGAAUUAAAAACAGAAAAUAAAAGGAAAAAUAAAAGAGGAAGAAGAAACCGAAGAUAUUGAGUUCUGCCCCUUUUGCGCCGAGCUUGCGGAAUUGCCCA